CCUACGGGAGGCAGCAGUGAGGAAUAUUGGUCAAUGGACGAGAGUCUGAACCAGCCAAGUAGCGUGAAGGAUGACUGCCCUAUGGGUUGUAAACUUCUUUUAUAUGGGAAUAAAAUGUUCCACGUGUGGGAUUUUGUAUGUACCAUAUGAAUAAGGAUCGGCUAACUCCGUGCCAGCAGCCGCGGUAAUACGGAGGAUCCGGGCGUUAUCCGGAUUUAUUGGGUUUAAAGGGAGCGUAGGUGGAUUGUUAAGUCAGUUGUGAAAGUUUGCGGCUCAACCGUAAAAUUGCAGUUGAAACUGGCAGUCUAGAGUACAGUAGAGGUGGGCGGAAUUCGUGGUGUAGCGGUGAAAUGCUUAGAUAUCACGAAGAACUCCGAUUGCGAAGGCAGCUCACUGGACUGCAACUGACACUGAGGCUCGAAAGUGUGGGUAUCAAACAGGAUUAGAUACCCCGGUAGUC
rnacentral:rRNA from 1 species